AUGAGAAACAAGUGUUUGCAGGAGUUAUUUCUGGAUCCAAAUGACCACAAGACCAUGAAGAAAGAAUUUGCGGAUUUUUCUCAAAUGAUGAAUGAUUUCGAGAAUGUAGAUUCAAUUGAAGAUAGAAAAGACUUUGAACCGAAGCAAUGGUGGGGCACUCAUGGACGAAGCACAAAGUUCUUGAAAAGUUUGGCAUUGAAGUUACUUGGUCAGCCUUCAUCUUCACCUUCAUUUGAAAGGAAUUGUAGCACAUAUUCCUUCAUCCAUAGUUCCGAGAGAAACAAGCACACUCCUGAACGUGUUGAGGAUUUAGUGUUCGCAUAA
rnacentral:rRNA from 1 species